rnacentral:lncRNA from 11 species
AUGAGUUUCCUAUUUUAUUAUUCCAUUCUCCUCUCUUUCCAGCGGCCUUGGAAGAGCGGCCGGCCUCGGGGUCGUGGGCAUCGGGAGAUCAGAACAACUCGACUUUCGACCAAGUCAGGCAGGGCUACGGCGAAGGCUCACACUACAGCGAGCUUCGGGACCUGCCAUCCCAUAAUAACAUAUCUUCGUCCUCAUUCCUGGGAUCCGGGAUCGUCGGUAAGUGACGUCCUACAUUUGGAGGUUUUGGGUUUGGAAUGGCUAAUAGAAAUAAUAAUAAUAGCAACAACAUAAUAAUAAUACCAUUAUCUAAUUAUCCAAUUAUAAUACCAUAAUAAUAAUUUAAUACUAUAAUAAUAAUAAUAUAUAAUUAUACUAGCUGUGCCUGGCCACGCGUUGCUGUGGCGUUGUCUGGUGAUGUGGAAGUGUGGAAGAGGCCUAAGUGAGGCCUAACUCUGCCUGUCCCCUGGGUUGAGUGGGUUGCUAGGAGACCAAGUGGGCGGAGCUUAGCCUUCUAACUGGCAGCAAUUGGAUAAAAGCAAUUAUUCCUCUCCCUCUAAUUAGGACUUUAUUUUUCAUUUCUUUGUAUCAACCUAGAGGCAUGGAUGAGGAGUUGUGCUGCCAAUUUUUGAGGUUGUGGGGUGUUUAGUUGUGUUGUUUUGUGGGUCGCCAGGAUUCCAUCACUCUUUUAUAUAUAUAUAAUACUACAAUACAUUAUUAUUAAUAUUUUUACAAUAAACAGGGAACGAAGUCUCAGUAAUAGCUCUGUCCCUUUGGUGUGGAAAGGGGUUGUAAACAAUGUACUGAGCAUGUUCAGGCGCAGGACU